rnacentral:tRNA from 1 species
AGCUUUGUAGUUUAAUUAAAAACUUUAAAUUGUUAAUUUAGGAUUGUCUAAAGACCGGGGCUU